GCAAUGCGUGGCAUACGGCUCAGUAACACGUAGUCAACAUGCCCAGGGGACGUGGAUAACCUCGGGAAACUGAGGAUAAACCGCGAUAGGCCAAGGUUUCUGGAAUGGACACUGGCUGAAACCUAUAUGGCCCCUGGAUUGGACUGCGGCCGAUCAGGCUGUUGGUGAGGUAAUGGCCCACCAAACCUGUAACCGGUACGGGCUUUGAGAGAAGGAGCCCGGAGAUGGGCACUGAGACAAGGGCCCAGGCCCUAUGGGGCGCAGCAGGCGCGAAAAUUCUGCAAUAGGCGAAAGCUUGACAGAGUUACUCUGAGUGAUGCCCGCUAAGGGCAUCUUUUGGCACCUCUAAAAAUGGUGCAGAAUAAGGGGUGGGCAAGUCUGGUGUCAGCCGCCGCGGUAAUACCAGCACCCCGAGUGGUCGGGGCGAUUAUUGGGCCUAAAGCAUCCGUAGCUUGUUCUGCAAGUCUUCCGUUAAAUCCACCUGCUCAACAGAUGGGCUGCGGGAGAUACUACAGGGCUAGGAGGCGGGAGAGGCAAGCGGUACUCAGUGGGUAGGGGUAAAAUCCUCUGAUCCACUGAAGACCACCAGUGGCGAAGGCGGCUUGCCAGAACGCGCUCGACGGUGAGGGAUGAAAGCUGGGGGAGCAAACCGGAUUAGAUACCCGGGUAGUCCCAGCUGUAAAC
rnacentral:rRNA from 1 species